rnacentral:lncRNA from 14 species
CCUCUUGCCAGACCCUCCUGUGCUUGAGGCUCCCAGGGACCGCAUCCAUCACUUGAAGCCUGCACCAAGCUUUGCAGCAAGCCCUGGGAGGUCUCAAUGAGAUCAUCCUUCUGCAGGCAGGAUGGCAACAGGGUGAGUGAGCCAUGGAUCCUGCUGUGCCGGCGUGGGAUCAGAUGCUGGUGAGCACCUCCUUUAUCACUACAGUUUGCAGCAUCCACAGCCUUGCACAGCCAGACCUGCUGAUGGUAUCAUCCAAAGAGGAAACCAGUGAGAGCCGGGAUUGAAACUGGAUGUUCCCAGGUUUGGCAGGGGAAGGAGGUGGGGCCAUCCUGCUGGGUUAGAGGGGAGAUAUGGGGUGAGAAGGGGAGGCCUGGAGGGAGUAUCUGCCUUAUCCUUGCAAUGUGCAGGAAGGAAGAUGUGCUGAGGUCACUGGUCACCUUCUUUAAAGCACCCAAAGAAUGAGGGGGCAAAGGAAAACCCACCCCAUGGUGACACUGCUGCUGUGGAGAGCACAGCUCCGGUUCCUGGCAUGGGCAGACAGCAGGAAUUGGGCUUGGCAUCCCAAAUAACAGGGAUUAGGGCUAAGCGAAACCCAAAUCAAGACUCUGGGGUUGCUGUUCUGGUUCUCACCUGUAUUCAUUUCUGAGUUUGCUGCUGGUUUCACAGAUAUAGGAUAAAGAGGGACUGGAGAGGUUUGUGAGAGGUCCUUGGGGUGUUUUCCUUGGUGGGCAGGAAUGAUGCUGCCACAAGACUUCUGGGAAUAGGGCUGCCAUGGAUAAGGCAUGAACACACCAAGGAUGCUCCUUAGGAAACACUAAACAACAACAUGUUGCAGGUCCAUCCUCUGGAGCACACUGAACUCAACAUCCCCUACAAGGAUCUGGAGGUGUUGAGUCACUGCCAUCUUCUUAUCUUCAUCCCAAGGGAUCGUGUGUUGCUGUCAGUGCUUCCCACUGUGGCCAUUGUGAGUGGGCAUGCGGAACCCUGGAGCCAGCAUUGGGAUGAGAUGCCAAUGACACCUCUGAGCCUCCUGAUCCGCAUCCUCUUUGGUAAGCAGUGGUCCUGGAACUGGAUUUAUCCCCCUUGCACCCACAGCCCAGCCCCAGCUGGUGUAAGGGAGUG